GACGAACGCUGGCGGCGUGCUUAACACAUGCAAGUCGAACGGUAAGGCCCUUCGGGGUACACGAGUCGCGAACGGGUGAGUAACACGUGGGUGAUCUGCCCUGCACCUCGGGAUAAGCCUGGGAAACUGGGUCUAAUGACGGAUAGGACCACUGCCUGCACGGGCGGUCGGGGAACGCUUUCGCGGCUUGGGAUGGCUCAGCGGCCUAUCAGGUUGUUGUUGGGGUGAUGGCCUACCAAGGCGACGACGGGUAGCCGGCCUGAGAGGGUGACCGGACACACUGGGACUGAGAUACGGCCCAGACUCCUACGGGAGGCAGCAGUGGGGAAUAUUGCACAAUGGGCGCAAGCCUGAUGCAGCGACGCCGCGUGAGGGAUGACGGCCUUCGGGUUGUAAACCUCUUUCAGCACCGACGAAGCGCAAGUGACGGUAGGUGCAGAAGAAGGACCGGCCAACUACGUGCCAGCCGCCGCCGUAA
rnacentral:rRNA from 1 species